AACGAACGUUGGCGGCGUGCCUAACACAUGCAAGUCGAGCGCGGGCAGGACUUCGGUCCUGUUCCGAGCGGCGCACGGGUGAGUAACACGUGAGUAACCUGCCUCGAAGUUUGGGAUAACCGCCCGAAAGGGUGGCUAAUACCGGAUAAGCCCCCACUGGCACAGGCCAGAGAGGGAAAGACCUUGGCGCUUCGAGAUGGGCUCGCGUCCCAUUAGCUAGUUGGUGAGGUAACGGCUCACCAAGGCGAAGAUGGGUAGCUGGUCUGAGAGGAUGGCCAGCCACACUGGAACUGAGACACGGUCCAGACUCCUACGGGAGGCAGCAGUGGGGAAUAUUGGACAAUGGGGGCGAACCCUGAUCCAGCCAUGCCGCGUGUGUGAAGAAGGCCUCGGUUGUAAGACGACUUAAGUACGA
rnacentral:rRNA from 1 species